rfam:Myotis davidii contig141578, whole genome shotgun sequence.
GCCCGGGUAGCUCAGUUGGUUAGAGCAUCAUCUUGAUGCACCAAGGCUGCGGGUUCGAUCCCUGGCCAGGGCA